rnacentral:misc_RNA from 1 species
AAGUCGUAACAAGGUUUCCGUAGGUGAACCUGCGGAAGGAUCAUUGAUAAAAGUCUCAUUGACUUUAUUGCCUCUGUUUAUUUUUACCCGUUUCUUCCACUGGACAGGCAAACUUUGUACAGUGAGCUGCCUCUAACUGCAGAUAUUUUUUUCUCAGUAUGAGAGUGCCAGUGGAUAUUCCAAUACAUAAAACUUUGAUAUAGAACUUUUGUCAGAAUAUAUUGAAAAAUAAAUAAAACUUUCAACAAUGGAUCUCUAGGCUCUU